GCGUAUUCAGCUCCCAAAAGUAUAUAUUUAAGUUGUUGCGGUUAAAAAGCUCGUAGUUGGAUUUUGGGCGCAGGCGGCCGGUCCGUCGCAAGGCGUGUACUGGACGUCCUGGCCUUCCCUCCGGUUCUCCGCCGGUGCUCUUGACUGAGUGUCGGCGGCGGCCGGAACGUUUACUUUGAAAAAAUUAGAGUGUUCAAAGCAGGCUCUCGAGCCUGGAUAAUGGUGCAUGGAAUAAUGGAAUAGGACCUCGGUUCUAUUUUGUUGGUUUUCGGAGCGCGAGGUAAUGAUUAAGAGGGACAGACGGGGGCAUUCGUACUGUGCCGUUAGAGGUGAAAUUCUUGGAUCGGCGCAAGACGAACGACUGCGAAAGCAUUUGCCAAGAAUGUUUUCUUUAAUCAAGAGCGAAAGUCAGAGGUUCGAAGACGAUCAGAUACCGUCCUAGUUCUGACUAUAAACGAUGCCAACUAGCGAUCGGGGGGCAUUACAUUGACGACCCCUCCGGCAGCUUACGGGAAACCAAAGUCUUUGGGUUCCGGGGGAAGUAUGGUUGCAAAGCUGAAACUUAAAGGAAUUGACGGAAGGGCACCACCAGGAGUGGAGCCUGCGGCUUAAUUUGACUCAACACGGGAAAUCUCACCCGGCCCGGACACAGUGAGGAUUGACAGAUUGAGAGCUCUUUCUUGAUU
rnacentral:ncRNA from 1 species